rnacentral:tRNA from 34 species
AAAAUCCGUCGACUUUAGAAAUCGUGAGGGUUCAAGUCC